rnacentral:rRNA from 1 species
UACGGGGGGGGCAAGCGUUGUUCGGAAUUAUUGGGCGUAAAGGGCGCGUAGGCGGCUUUGCGUGUCUUUCGUGAAAUCCCUCGGCUCAACUGAGGACGUGCGGAAGAAACUGCAGGGCUGGAGUCCGGGAGAGGAGGGUGGAAUUCCCAGUGUAGCGGUGAAAUGCGUAGAUAUUGGGAGGAACACCGGUGGCGAAGGCGGCCCUCUGGACCGGUACUGACGCUGAUGCGCGAAAGCGUGGGGAGCAAACGGG